rnacentral:rRNA from 1 species
AGAGUUUGAUCCUGGCUCAGGACGAACGCUGGCGGCGUGCCUAACACAUGCAAGUCGAACGGAACUGUUUUGAAAGAUUUCUUCGGAAUGAAUUUGAUUUAGUUUAGUGGCGGACGGGUGAGUAACGCGUGAGUAACCUGCCUUCAAGAGGGGGAUAACAUUCUGAAAAGAAUGCUAAUACCGCAUGACAUAUCGGAACCACAUGGUUUUGAUAUCAAAGAUUUUAUCGCUUGAAGAUGGACUCGCGUCCGAUUAGUUAGUUGGUGAGGUAACGGCUCACCAAGACCGCGAUCGGUAGCCGGACUGAGAGGUUGAACGGCCACAUUGGGACUGAGACACGGCCCAGACUCCUACGGGAGGCAGCAGUGGGGGAUAUUGCGCAAUGGGGGCAACCCUGACGCAGCAACGCCGCGUGAAGGAUGAAGGUUUUCGGAUUGUAAACUUCUUUUAUUAAGGACGAAAAAUGACGGUACUUAAUGAAUAAGCUCCGGCUAACUACGUGCCAGCAGCCGCGGUAAUACGUAGGGAGCAAGCGUUGUCCGGAUUUACUGGGUGUAAAGGGUGCGUAGGCGGCUUUGCAAGUCAGAUGUGAAAUCUAUGGGCUCAACCCAUAAACUGCAUUUGAAACUGUAGAGCUUGAGUGAAGUAGAGGCAGGCGGAAUUCCCCGUGUAGCGGUGAAAUGCGUAGAGAUGGGGAGGAACACCAGUGGCGAAGGCGGCCUGCUGGGCUUUAACUGACGCUGAGGCACGAAAGCGUGGGUAGCAAACAGGAUUAGAUACCCUGGUAGUCCACGCUGUAAACGAUGAUUACUAGGUG